UUGCUAUGAGGAAGAUGUAUAUGCUCCAGAAACAUGAUUUAAUCAUGUCUGUGUUGGUAGCAAUACCUCUAAGAAGUUCUGAGCUAUAAAUUAUAUUGUUUUGAAAUUUAAAAAAACAAAAGAAGGCGAGGUGACGAUAAAAUUCAAUGGUCUGUCAAUCCACUGACAAUAUUUGAUUGAUGUUAAACAUUGAAUCCCGACAGGUUCCGAUCGCUUAUGUUUUUAUUUUUAUUUUUUGUUAAAUUGAUUGUGUUUUAAACUAGGCAUAUGAUGAAUCUCUAAAAACAAAUGGGUAAUUUGCGUCUGAAAGCAUUUCCUUGAUGUUACAUCACCUUGGAGAACUGAUGCUUGUU
rnacentral:lncRNA from 1 species